rnacentral:rRNA from 1 species
GACGAACGCUGGCGGCGUGCUUAACACAUGCAAGUCGAACGGAGAGGCCCUGCUUUUGUGGGGUGCUCGAGUGGCGAACGGGUGAGUAACACGUGAGUAACCUGCCCUUGACUUUGGGAUAACUUCAGGAAACUGGGGCUAAUACCGGAUAGGAGCUCCUGCUGCAUGGGGGGGGUUGGAAAGUUUCGGCGGUUGGGGAUGGACUCGCGGCUUAUCAGCUUGUUGGUGGGGUAGUGGCUUACCAAGGCUUUGACGGGUAGCCGGCCUGAGAGGGUGACCGGCCACAUUGGGACUGAGAUACGGCCCAGACUCCUACGGGAGGCAGCAGUGGGGAAUAUUGCACAAUGGGCGGAAGCCUGAUGCAGCAACGCCGCGUGCGGGAUGACGGCCUUCGGGUUGUAAACCGCUUUCGCCUGUGACGAAGCGUGAGUGACGGUAAUGGGUAAAGAAGCACCGGCUAACUACGUG